AUGAAACACUUCAAACUCUACAAACACAUAUAAUGAAACUUAUAGAAGCAUAAAACGGGGAUAACAGGGCGGUAACUCACGUGACGACGGGUCGGGUCGUCACAUUCUCCCCAACUAAAACAAACUCUCGUCCUCGAGCGGGUCAAGAAACAUACCUGGAGCCUUAAAGAAACGAGGAUUUCUGCUCCGCAUCUUCUGCACGGUCUCCCAAGUGUCCUCCUUCAUGGGACGACCUCUCCACCGCACCUUUUCUUAAGUUAUAUCCUUUGAUCUCAACUUUCAAACCUGACGACCCAAAAUAGCCACUGGCUCCACAUCAUUGGUCAAGUCCUCAUCCAACUGGAUCGUGCUGAAGUCUAAUACAU
rnacentral:lncRNA from 1 species